rnacentral:rRNA from 1 species
GUGGGGAAUAUUGGACAAUGGGCGAAAGCCUGAUCCAGCAAUGCCGCGUGAGUGAUGAAGGCCUUAGGGUUGUAAAGCUCUUUUACCCGGGAUGAUAAUGACAGUACCGGGAGAAUAAGCUCCGGCUAACUCCGUGCCAGCAGCCGCGGUAAUACGGAGGGAGCUAGCGUUGUUCGGAAUUACUGGGCGUAAAGCGCGCGUAGGCGGUUUUUUAAGUCAGAGGUGAAAGCCCAGUGCUCAACACUGGAACUGCCUUUGAAACUGGAAAACUUGAAUCUUGGAGAGGUCAGUGGAAUUCCGAGUGUAGAGGUGAAAUUCGUAGAUAUUCGGAAGAACACCAGUGGCGAAGGCGACUGACUGGACAAGUAUUGACGCUGAGGUGCGAAAGCGUGGGGAGCAAACAGGAUUAGAAACCCUAGUAGUCC